rnacentral:tRNA from 1 species
GCGCUCGUAGCUCAGUCGGAUAGAGCACCGGAUUCCUAAUCCGGGGGUCGCAGGUUCGAAUCCUGCCGGGCGCGCCA